AUUGAACGCUGGCGGCAGGCCUAACACAUGCAAGUCGAGCGGAUGAAGGGAGCUUGCUCCUGGAUUCAGCGGCGGACGGGUGAGUAAUGCCUAGGAAUCUGCCUGGUAGUGGGGGAUAACGUCCGGAAACGGGCGCUAAUACCGCAUACGUCCUGAGGGAGAAAGUGGGGGAUCUUCGGACCUCACGCUAUCAGAUGAGCCUAGGUCGGAUUAGCUAGUUGGUGAGGUAAAGGCCUACCAAGGCGACGAUCCGUAACUGGUCUGAGAGGAUGAUCAGUCACACUGGAACUGAGACACGGUCCAGACUCCUACGGGAGGCAGCAGUGGGGAAUAUUGGACAAUGGGCGAAAGCCUGAUCCAGCCAUGCCGCGUGUGUGAAGAAGGUCUUCGGAUUGUAAAGCACCUUAAGUUGGGAGGAAGGGCAGUAAGUUAAUACCUUGCUGUUUUGACGUUACCAACAGAAUAAGCACCGGCUAACUUCGUG
rnacentral:rRNA from 1 species